rnacentral:lncRNA from 1 species
UUCAGGACUUUGGGAGCCUCUCUGUCUUGGGACAGCAAUGCUUAAGAUCUUAGGCGCCUCUACAGCCCAUUUCUAGUAUGUCCUGCCUCACCUUUCACUCACCUGAGUAAGGCAGAACAGGAGGCCAUUCUGGACCCUUGUAUAGCUUUGCACAGGAUGCUCGCAGCAACUCAGUAACAAUGUAGUCAGCAUUGAAGAUGUUGGCUAUCAGAACUCAUUCGUGGCCUGCCUGUAGCCCUUGGCUUGAACCUCAGGAGAAUGCAGCCCAAGAGGAAGAAGUUGGCGCUUGGAAGAAUUAAAUAGAAGGCAAGGUCAAAGCCCGAGCAGUGCACAUGUUUGGAACUGAAAUGGAAUAUUUCUGCCACUUUGCUCUUCUUCUGAUACACCUCAUAUAAUAUAAAACCCCCGUGGAUUCAUGUAAUAAUUAGUAUAGAUGUCUCUUCAUAUUAUUAGCUGACAGUUAACCUCCAUAUGACUUGAAGCAUCCAGUGUUUAAGA